CCUACGGGUGGCUGCAGUGGGGAAUUUUGGACAAUGGGCGCAAGCCUGAUCCAGCCAUGCCGCGUGAGUGAAGAAGGCCUUCGGGUUGUAAAGCUCUUUCGGCCGGGAAGAAAUCGCAUGGGUUAAUACCCUGUGUGGAUGACGGUACCGGAAUAAGAAGCACCGGCUAACUACGUGCCAGCAGCCGCGGUAAUACGUAGGGUGCGAGCGUUAAUCGGAAUUACUGGGCGUAAAGCGUGCGCAGGCGGUUUUGUAAGACAGGCGUGAAAUCCCCGGGCUUAACCUGGGAACUGCGCUUGUGACUGCAAGGCUAGAGUACGGCAGAGGGGGGUGGAAUUCCACGUGUAGCAGUGAAAUGCGUAGAGAUGUGGAGGAACACCAAUGGCGAAGGCAGCCCCCUGGGUCGAUACUGACGCUCAUGCACGAAAGCGUGGGUAGCAAACAGGAUUAGAUACCCCGGUAGUC
rnacentral:rRNA from 1 species